CUGGCCUAACACAUGCAAGUCGAACGGGGUCUUCGGACCCAGUGGCGAACGGCGGAGUAAUACAUAAGCAACGUGCCCUAAAGACUGGGAUAAUCAUUGGAAACGAUGGGUAAUACCAGAUGUGGUCUUCUCUUGGCAUCUUGAGAAGAUUAAACGGUUUUUCGCUUUAGGAGCGGCUUAUGGCCUAUCAGGUAGUUGGUGGGGUAACAGCCUACCAAGCCGACGACGGGUAGCGGGUCUGAGAGGAUGAUCCGCUCGAGUGGGACUGGGACACGGCCCACACACCUACGGGUGGCAGCAGUUGGGAAUCUUGCACAGUGGGGGAAACCCUGAUGCAGCGACGCCGCGUGGAGGAUGAAGGGUCUAGGCCUGUAAACUCCUUUUGACGGGAAAGACUUAGGACGGUACCCGUUGAAUAAGGACCGGCUAACUACGUGCCAGCAGCCGCGGUAAGACGUAGGGUCCAAGCGUUGUCCGGAUUUACUGGGCGUAAAGAGCGCGUAGGCGGUCUGUUAAGUGUGAAGUGAAAUCUCCAGGGCUCAACCCGGAAACUGCUUCGCAUACUGGCAGACUGGAGGGAUGCAGAGGUUUGUGGAAUUCCUGGUGUAGCGGUGAUAUGCAUAGAUAUCAGGAGGAACACCCAUGGCGAAGGCAGCAAACUGGGCAUCAUCUGACGCUGAGGCGCGAAAGCGUGGGUAGCAAACAGGAUUAGAUACCCUGGUAGUCCACGCCCUAAACGAUGGAUACUAG
rnacentral:rRNA from 1 species